rnacentral:rRNA from 1 species
ACGAACGCUGGCGGCGUGCUUAACACAUGCAAGUCGAACGGAAAGGCCCUGCUUUUGUGGGGUGCUCGAGUGGCGAACGGGUGAGUAACACGUGAGUAACCUGCCCUUGACUUUGGGAUAACUUCAGGAAACUGGGGCUAAUACCGGGUAGGAGCUCCUGCUGCAUGGUGGGGGUUGGAAAGUUUCGGCGGUUGGGGAUGGACUCGCGGCUUAUCAGCUUGUUGGUGGGGUAGUGGCUUACCCAGGCUUUGACGGGUAGCCGGCCUGAGAGGGUGACCGGCCACAUUGGGACUGAGAUACGGCCCAGACUCCUACGGGAGGCAGCAGUGGGGAAUAUUGCACAAUGGGCGGAAGCCUGAUGCAGCAACGCCGCGUGCGGGAUGACGGCCUUCGGGUUGUAAACCGCUUUCGCCUGUGACGAAGCGUGAGUGACGGUAAUGGGUAAAGAAGCACCGGCUAACUACGUG